rnacentral:rRNA from 1 species
AGCGAACGCUGGCGGCAGGCCUAACACAUGCAAGUCGAACGAACCUUUCGGGGUUAGUGGCGGACGGGUGAGUAACACGUGGGAACGUGCCUUUAGGUUCGGAAUAACUCAGGGAAACUUGUGCUAAUACCGAAUGUGCCCUUCGGGGGAAAGAUUUAUCGCCUUUAGAGCGGCCCGCGUCUGAUUAGCUAGUUGGUUGAGGUAAUGGCUCACCAAGGCGACGAUCAGUAGCUGGUCUGAGAGGAUGAUCAGCCACAUUGGGACUGAGACACGGCCCAAAAUCCUACGGGAGGCAGGAGUGGGGAAUCUUGCGCAAUGGGCGAAAGCAUGACGCAGCCAUGCCGCGUGAAUGAUGAAGGUCUUAGGAUUGUAAAAUUCUUUCACCGGGGACGAUAAUGACGGUACCCGGAGAAGAAGCCCCGGCUAACUUCGUG